rnacentral:rRNA from 1 species
AUGAACGCUGGCGGCGUGCCUAAUACAUGCAAGUCGAGCGAACAGACGAGGAGCUUGCUCCUYUGACGUUAGCGGCGGACGGGUGAGUAACACGUGGAUAACCUACCUAUAAGACUGGGAUAACUUCGGGAAACCGGAGCUAAUACCGGAUAACAUGUUGAACCGCAUGGUUCAACAGUGAAAGACGGUCUUGCUGUCACUUAUAGAUGGAUCCGCGCCGCAUUAGCUAGUUGGUAAGGUAACGGCUUACCAAGGCAACGAUGCGUAGCCGACCUGAGAGGGUGAUCGGCCACACUGGAACUGAGACACGGUCCAGACUCCUACGGGAGGCAGCAGUAGGGAAUCUUCCGCAAUGGGCGAAAGCCUGACGGAGCAACGCCGCGUGAGUGAAGAAGGUCUUCGGAUCGUAAAACUCUGUUAUUAGGGAAGAACAAAUGUGUAAGUAACUAUGCACGUCUUGACGGUACCUAAUCAGAAAGCCACGGCUAACUAC